rnacentral:rRNA from 1 species
AGAGUUUGAUCAUGGCUCAGAUUGAACGCUGGCGGUAGGCUUAACACAUGCAAGUCGUGCGAGAAAGUAUCUUCGGAUAUGAGUAGAGCGGCGGACGGGUGAGUAACGCGUAGGAAUCUACCUAGUAGAAGGGGAUAGCCCGGGGAAACUCGGAUUAAUACCGUAUACCUCCUUCGGGAGAAAGAAGGCCUCUCUUUGAAGCUUUCGCUAUUAGAUGAGCCUGCGUAAGAUUAGCUUGUUGGUGAGGUAAAGGCUCACCAAGGCGACGAUCUUUAGCUGGUCUGAGAGGACGAUCAGCCACAUUGGGACUGAGACACGGCCCAGACUCCUACGGGAGGCAGCAGUGGGGAAUAUUGGACAAUGGGCGCAAGCCUGAUCCAGCCAUACCGCGUGUGUGAAGAAGGCCCUAGGGUUGUAAAGCACUUUAAGUUGGGAAGAAAAGUUAUUGGUUAAUACCCAAUAACCGUGACAUUACCAUCAGAAUAAGGACCGGCUAAUUCCGUGCCAGCAGCCGCGGUAAUACGGAAGGUCCAAGCGUUAAUCGGAAUUACUGGGCGUAAAGCGCGCGUAGGUGGUUUAUUAAGUUGGAUGUGAAAUCCCCGGGCUCAACCUGGGAACUGCAUCCAAAACUGAUUCACUAGAGUACGAUAGAGGGAGGUAGAAUUCACAGUGUAGCGGUGGAAUGCGUAGAUAUUGUGAAGAAUACCAAUGGCGAAGGCAGCCUCCUGGAUCUGUACUGACACUGAGGUGCGAAAGCGUGGGUAGCGAACAGGAUUAGAUACCCUGGUAGUCCACGCCGUAAACGAUGACAACUAGCUGUUGGGAAACAAAGUUUCUCAGUGGCGCAGCUAACGUUUUAAGUUGUCCGCCUGGGGAGUACGGCCGCAAGGCUAAAACUCAAAUGAAUUGACGGGGACCCGCACAAGCGGUGGAGCAUGUGGUUUAAUUCGAUGCAACGCGAAAAACCUUACCUACUCUUGACAUACUUGGGAGCUCUUGUAAUGAGAGUGUGCCUUUUGGAACCAAGAUACAGGUGCUGCAUGGCUGUCGUCAGCUCGUGUCGUGAGAUGUUCCGUUAAGUCGGAUAACGAGCGCAACCCUUACCCUUAUUUGCCAGCGAUUCGGUCGGGAACUAUAAGGGGACUGCCGGUGAUAAACCGGAGGAAGGUGAGGACGACGUCAAGUCAUCAUGGCCCUUACGU